UACGUAGGGUGCAAGCGUUGUCCGGAAUUAUUGGGCGUAAAGAGCUCGUAGGCGGUUUGUUGCGUCGGCUGUGAAAUCCCGAGGCUCAACCUCGGGUCUGCAGUCGAUACGAGCAAACUAGAGUGUUGCAGGGGAGACUGGAAUUCCUGGUGUAGCGGUGAAAUGCGCAGAUAUCGGGAGGAACACCGGUGGCGAAGGCGGUUCUCUGGGCCUGUACUGACGCUGAGGAGCGAAAGCGUGGGGAGCAAACAGG
rnacentral:rRNA from 1 species